GGCGAGGUAGCCAAGUGGUAAGGCGGUGGUCUGCAAAACCAUUAUUCACCGGUUCGAGUCCGGUCCUCGCCU
rnacentral:tRNA from 1 species